rnacentral:rRNA from 1 species
UCCCAUUCCGAACACAGAAGUUAAGCUCUCUAGCGCUGAUGGUACUUGGUGGGAAACUGCCUGGGAGAGUAGGACGUAGCCACGU